AAGACAGGACUGAACUCCAAGUAGCUCUCUCAUAGUUCAUCGCAUGCUGUUGGAAUUUCCAGUUGCGCUUUCGAAUCCAAUCAUCGCCAAAUAUAUGCCUAAGUUCCGAAUUCUUUACCUUUUGAGCCAUGUAAUGUAUGUUGUUCAUCAAGAAGAUAUGUUGCAAGGAAGGAUCCCUGUAUAACUUGGCCUUGUCAUCAAGGUUGCAUUCUAGAAUUGAAGCAACAGAUCUGAAGUGGAGAGCCAUAGGGGAAGCAUCAAAUGUACUUCCACUUGUGUUCUCUUCUUCUGUACGUGGACUUGAGCCAGGGGACAAUGAAAUAGGAUCCUCUCCAUCAUGAUCCUUUAGGAGAAAAUUGAG
rnacentral:misc_RNA from 1 species